rnacentral:lncRNA from 1 species
UUCAGUCUUAUGGCCAAGUAAGAUAGAGCAACAGAAAAUAGAAAGCUUAACUACAUUGAACUCUUUUUAGAGAUUCUUUUGCUAAUAUUUCUAAUAUCAAUUAUGGUGUGAAUUUCUGGGAAAAAUAACUAAUUAAGAUUUUCUGUGGAGAAGGGGGUGCUACUACAAUAAUAUCAAAGUUAGCAUUAAUAAAUGCAUGCACUCACAAUAUAAAAAUAAAAUAAAAAUUGGUAAAAAUACUUUUAAUUCACAUGAUUUGAUAAGGUUCAAUUUGAAUUGGGUAAUUCAAUAAUAAAAAAAAAACAAUGACUUUAUCAUUAAUACACAUUUUCCAGCUGGUUAAAUGAUCUGUUUUCUAAUUUCUAUAAUAAUGUUUAUAUCCAUUUAUUGUAACACUUUCAUUCAACAGGAAAAACAUAACUAAUAUUAUUAUUUGCAUUUACCUCAUGCCCUGACUAUUAAAUUUAAGGUAAAUGACAUUAAUUAUAUAAAUAUUCAUUACAAGAGACAAUUAUUGACUUAAAAUAUUAAGAGGCUAACUAUUCGACAUAAUAUCAAGUACACUUAGCUCCUUAAAUGACAUAAAGUAACAUAUUUUAGAUUAUUAAUGUUUUCUUAAGCUUAUAAAAAAAGUACACAUUUAUGAUUGUCUUAUGCCAUCACUAAGAACAAGGCUUCUAAAAGUUAAGUCCUAAUAGAUAUAAUUCUUUAUACAAAAGUGUCCAAAAGUUUUGGCUACAUUUUAACUGGAAUAUUUUCUCUUAUUAAAAUAUAAUAAUUUGUCUAGAUUCAGAGUUUUAUAGGGAUAAUUCUAGAAUACAAUCACAGAGGAUUCUACAGAUGAGAAAGACAUAUUACAAAAUUCUAGAAAGAAAGAACAUUGCUUCCACACAGAGAAAAGAAAAAAAAUGGAGAGUUCUAGAAGCAAGAAAGAAAAUGUCUCUGGGUAAAAAAGUCUUUAUAUAUUAAAUACUUUGAUAGUAGGAAGGAAGAGAUUUUUCUAAAUGUGAAAAUCUUUGUAUGGUUAUAUACAGGAAAUUCUAAGUAAGUAAUUAAAAAGGUUUGUAAGUAAUAAGUUUGUGUGUAAUUAAGUUGCAAGUGAAUAUAUGGAACAAUAAAAAAUAUUUAAGGUUUUUCUCCAAGAUCAAAUACUAAUAUGUAAAUGUAAACCAAAAUAUAGAAUAAUUUUUUAUGCCUGGUAAGUUCUAUUAUUUAAAACAGGGCUAAUUUAAAAAAAAUAAAAUUUAUAUAAUUUUGACAAGACAAC